rnacentral:rRNA from 1 species
GACGAACGCUGGCGGCGUGCUUAACACAUGCAAGUCGAACGGUGAAAGAAGAGCUUGCUCUUCUGGAUCAGUGGCGAACGGGUGAGUAACACGUGAGUAACCUGCCCCAGACUCUGGAAUAAGCGCUGGAAACGGCGUCUAAUACCGGAUACGAAACAGAGCUGCAUGGCUACUGUCUGGAAAGUUUUUCGGACUGGGAUGGACUCGCGGCCUAUCAGCUUGUUGGUGAGGUAACGGCUCACCAAGGCAACGACGGGUAGCCGGCCUGAGAGGGCGACCGGCCACACUGGGACUGAGACACGGCCCAGACUCCUACGGGAGGCAGCAGUGGGGAAUAUUGCACAAUGGGCGAAAGCCUGAUGCAGCGACGCCGCGUGAGGGAUGACGGCCUUCGGGUUGUAAACCUCUUUCAGCAGGGAAGAAGCGAAAGUGACGGUACCUGCAGAAGAAGCACCGGCUAACUACGUG